rnacentral:rRNA from 1 species
UACGGAAGGUAGCAGUGGGGAAUAUUGCACAAUGGGCGAAAGCCUGAUGCAGCUAUGCCGCGUGUAUGAAGAAGGCCUUAGGGUUGUAAAGUACUUUCAUCGGGGAGGAAAAAACAAAACUAAUAAUUUUAUUUCUUGACGUUACCCGAAAAAGAAGCACCGGCUAACUCCGUGCCAGCAGCCGCGGUAAUACGGAGGGUGCUAGCGUUAAUCAGAAUUACUGGGCGUAAAGAGCACGUAGGUGGUUUUUUUAAAGUCAGAUGUGAAAUCCCUGGGCUUAACCUAGGAACUGCAUUUUGAAACUGAAAUACUAGAGUAUCGUAGAGGGAGGUAGAAUUCUAGGUGUAGCGGUGAAAUGCGUAGAUAUCUGGAGGAAUACCUGUGGCGAAAGCGGCCUCCUAAACGAAUACUGACACUGAGGGUGCGAAAGCGUGGGGAGCAAACAGGGAUUAGAUACCCGU